CAGUAGCCGCGGUAAUACGUAGGUGGCAAGCGUUGUCCGGAAUUAUUGGGCGUAAAGGGAGCGCAGGCGGACAUAUAAGUCCAUCUUAAAAGUGCGGGGCUCAACCCCGUGAGGGGAUGGAAACUGUAUGCCUUGAGUGCAGGAGAGGAGAGCGGAAUUCCCAGUGUAGCGGUGAAAUGCGUAGAUAUUGGGAGGAACACCAGUGGCGAAGGCGGCUUUCUGGGCUGUAACUGACGCUGAGGCUCGAAAGCCAGGGGAGCGAACGGGAUUAGAUACCCCCGUAGUCCCUGUCUCUUAUACA
rnacentral:rRNA from 1 species